rnacentral:tRNA from 2 species
GGAACGUUAGCUCAGCUGGGAGAGCGUCUGAUUCACGUUCAGAAGGUCACAGGUUCGAGCCCUGCACGUUCCA